ACUUGAUUUUCUGCUAGAAAAUUACUAGAAACUUAUAUUUCUUGGUUAGAUUGUCAUAAAUUCAUAAAUUCAAUCUCAUGCUGACCUAAUUCUAGAUUAGAAUACAAAAUGUCACGUGAUAUCUACACAUACGGAAAAGACGUAGUUUGUUAAGUUUGGAUUUAUUUUAUAAAUAGUGUUGGGGAUUUUAUUCCAUGUGCUUCUGGAGACAUGUGGACAUCAGUGGAUGAUCUGGUGAAUGAACUUGAGGCAUGAACAAAGGAAAAACUACACAGAUUGACAAGUUGGAAAAGAUUACAAGAUAAACAAAAUGGAGUGGAGAGGAUCAGGUAUUGGGGACACACCUGAGAGAGGUAAUAAAGAUAUGCUACACAGUCUAGGAAGUAUACAUCGUUGGAUUGUUAUGUGACAUGUUUAUCAAUGGACCUUUCCAGUGUUUACAGUUUUAUGUAAAUUGGCUAGCUUGUUAUACUGUUUGUGAGCAGUUGACCUAGCAAUGAAUGGAAAAGGUGUGGCUAAAUGUUCCUCUACGAAAAACCAGAAAGGUCCAUCGUGGGUAUCCAACAAUGGGAAGUAUAUUAGACUUAAUAGUAAAUCGUAACUUUUACUUAGCUUCUUAAUUAAACACAGUACAAUCAGCAUUUUGAAUUAAAGCCAUGGCUAAUUAUUUGUAAAUAGCUCAAUAAAGUAAAGAAAAAUAACUUUCUUAAGACAAGAUAUGAAUGUAAGUAAUAUUUAUAAACACAUUUAUUGUUUAUGAUUUUUUUUUUAUUAUGCAUGUACUUACCCUGAAUAUUUAUGUUACACAUGACCAUUUAGAAAUAAAGGGCUUUAGACAGGAAAUAUUUAAUAUCUUGAUGUCAUUAUAUAACUAGAAGUACACUGUUUAUGCCCCUAGUGUCAGGAUUAUUUCUAUUGCCAUCUUCCUGUUUGCACUCUCAAGUAUUCUCAUUCAAUAAUUGCUCCAAGUAUACGAUCUAAAAUCCCGGUUAAUUUUAAGCAAUCUUCCAUAACAAAUACUUUUUUUUGUUUGUUUGUUUCAUUUUACGCCUUUUCCUAACAGUAUGUCAGUCAUAUAGGCGGGUAGUUUCCUAACCAUCGUUCCUGGAGAGUUACACUAGUACUAGACUACCUUCCUCCGCGUUAAACUACCAAAGUAUCUCCCGGGGAUCGAACCCAUACCAGAGAGGUAACUGGAUUAGAAGUCAUCGACUCUAACCCCCUCGACCACGUUUUUUUUUUUUUUUUUUUUUUUACAGAGUCAUUUGGUAAGAACAAUUUCUUCUUCCACUAAUAAGAAUUUAUUCAUUCCUCUUGUAAGAUUUUCUUGUUCCUCUGGUUUUAUAUCAGGUACACUUUAUACUGGAUCCAAUAAUCAGGAAAGCAGCAAAUUAUAUUUAAGAAAAAAUAUUGGUCUCAAAGUUGUUUAUUGGCUAUUUAACUCUGGUUUGGAGUUUUGAUGUGUAGGAAUUGACCACAAAGGCUAUUAUAUAUUGCAUCAAAAGGACAAACCUGAGUGUUAAAUAGCCAACAAACACUGUAUAAUUUCUUGUUAUAAGCAAACUUCUAGUCUCCUUUCACCAGCUUAAGCUAUGGAAAUCAGUCUUCCUAUUUGUUUUUUUUUCCUAUUUUUUCUUUCUGUGGUGCAGAACUCUGGUUUCAUUCAUGUCUUUUGUAAGCAAAUGCACAGGAUAUGUUGCUAAACUGUUCUUUUCAGUACAUUAGUUGAAAAAGCGUAAUAGGUGUCAUCCCGAAAUACUAACAUGAAGACCUGAUAACUGUUCGCUGCGCCACAAAUUCUUCGGACAUCAUCAUUUUAACUUACCUGUAUUCUAUGAGAUAUUUUCAUUUUACCGUAUCUUGUUCAUUCCUUUAUUUAACUGAAAUUUUCUGAGAUGAGGUAAGCAGCAGAGGAAGUCAACAUGAUAUUGUGCAGACACAUCAUCCGAUAUUUCAAAUUUAUGUAACUUAUUUAAGCCUAUUCACCACAAAAUGCAAAUUAUUUGAUUGCCAGGAGCUCAAACACUGAAAUUUUUUAAGUAACUAGAGUAGAUAUUUUGUAAAUGAUUUGUUGUUAUGUAAAGAUAUAAAAUUAUAGGUUAUAUGUGUGAAUUAUAAUCUACAAUGUAUUGGCAUUAAAAAUGUGCUAUUCAAUAAUAUUUGUACUUUUUGAACAACCCUUGUUAGUGCAAAACAUUUUAAUUAGGUGUGUACCAAUAUUUUGUAUGUUUUCCAUAUGCACUCAAAAUGAACAUAGAAAAAGUAGUGAUGUAGCAUCAUAUCUGUCAAUUUCAUUCUUUAUUUGUAUACUAUAAAAGAACAUUUUGUAUUGUUGCUGCAAACAAAAAGGUUAAUAUUUUAAGAUGGUAUUAUUAGGAACGAAAUGUCAAUGGUUUUCACAUCUUUGAAUUCAUACAGUUUUCAUACACCUUUAAUUUCAACAAUGAAAAAGCUGCACAACAGAUUAUGAAAUAUAAUGAAACUUGACAAGAUGGAUCAGUCUGGUUUAUUACCAUCGGAAUGCAUCUUCAGUAGUAAUUGAUCAUAUGGAGAUCACCUUUCUUGCAUGUGUCAAUAAUUUAGUAGAACAAAAUUUAAUACUAAGAAUUAUUUGUGUUUUUUCUUCUUCUUUUUUCAAAAGUUCAAAUGUUUGUUAUAUUAAUACAGGUAUUGAAAAAUAAUGAAAAAACACAUACAUUUCACACUUUAAAUGUAAAUAAGAGCUGUUGAGUGUUACCAAAAUUUUUCAUUUAAAUAUAUAAAUGUUUGAAUGAAAUAUAAAACCUUACCCUCCUGUUUAUAAUUUGUGUUACGGGUAAUAAAAAUUCAGAAAGCUAACUGAUCUGUAUUCUUACUUUAUUUCUUCCUUUGUACACCAUGCUAGUUGCACCCUGGCCCAACGGUUUUGUUAUGUCCCAAAGGUAACUAAGAGAUCCUCUCAAACUCAUUUCAGUUUAAUAGUUCAAAUCAGAGAACACAGAAUUCUUGAAUUUCAUUUCUUUUGCUGUAAC